rnacentral:rRNA from 1 species
UACGGGGGGGGCAAGCGUUGUUCGGAAUUACUGGGCGUAAAGGGCUCGUAGGCGGCCAACUAAGUCGGAUGUGAAAUCCCCAGGCUCAACUUGGGAACUGCAUCCGAUACUGGAUGGCUUGAAUUCGGGAGAGGGAUGCAGAAUUCCAGGUGUAGCGGUGAAAUGCGUAGAUAUCUGGAGGAAUACCGGUGGCGAAGGCGGCAUCCUGGACCGACAUUGACGCUGAGGAGCGAAAGCUAGGGGAGCAAGCGGG